ACCGCGAUAGCUCCGCCGGUAAAGCAUCUGCACGGUAUGCGGAUGGUCGCUGGUUCGACUCCGGCUCGCGGCA
rnacentral:tRNA from 1 species